rnacentral:rRNA from 1 species
GGUCCCGCCUGCCCAGUGAUAAACUUAAACGGCCGCGGUAUUCUAACCGUGCAAAGGUAGCGUAAUCACUUGUCUUCUAAAUAAAGACCAGUAUGAACGGCUAAAUGAGGACAGACCUGUCUCUUACAACCAAUCAGUGAAACUGAUCUUCCAGUUCAAAAGCUGGAAUAAAAACAUAAGACGAGAAGACCCUGUGGAGCUUUAGACCAACCUGUUAACAAGCACUUACAAGUGCCCCUAAUAGGAGGUCUUAAGUUGGGGCGACUUCGGAAUAAAAGAAAACUUCCGAGCACAGAACCACAACCUCUUACUAAGGCAGACAAGCCAAAGUUUCAACAACCGACCCAGUAACACUGAUCAACGAACCAAGUUACCCCAGGGAUAACAGCGCUAUCUUCUUCAAGAGUCCAUAUCGACAAGAAGGUUUACGACCUCGAUGUUGGAUCAGGACACCCAAAUGGUGCAGCCGCUAUUAAAGGUUCGUUUGUUCAACGAUU